rnacentral:rRNA from 1 species
GAUGAACGCUGGCGGCGUGCUUAACACAUGCAAGUCGAACGGUGAGGCAGGAGCUUGCUCUUGUGGAUCAGUGGCGAACGGGUGAGUAACACGUGAGCAACCUGCCCCUGACUCUGGGAUAAGCGCUGGAAACGGCGUCUAAUACUGGAUAUGUGAUGUGACCGCAUGGUCUGCAUCUGGAAAGAAUUUCGGUUGGGGAUGGGCUCGCGGCCUAUCAGCUUGUUGGUGAGGUAAUGGCUCACCAAGGCGUCGACGGGUAGCCGGCCUGAGAGGGUGACCGGCCACACUGGGACUGAGACACGGCCCAGACUUCUACGGGAGGCAGCAGUGGGGAAUAUUGCACAAUGGGCGGAAGCCUGAUGCAGCAACGCCGCGUGAGGGAUGACGGCCUUCGGGUUGUAAACCUCUUUUAGCAGGGAAGAAGCGAAAGUGACGGUACCUGCAGAAAAAGCACCGGCUAACUACGUGCCAGCCGCCGCGGUAA